rnacentral:rRNA from 1 species
ACGGGGGGUGCAAGCGUUAAUCGGAUUUACUGGGCGUAAAGAGCUCGUAGGCGGCAAUUUAAGUUGGAUGUGAAAGCCCCGGGCUUAACCUGGGAACUGCAUUCAAAACUGGAUAGCUAGAGUGAGGGAGAGGAGAGUGGAAUUUCCGGUGUAGCGGUGAAAUGCAUAGAUAUCGGAAGGAACACCAGUGGCGAAGGCGACUCUCUGGCCUAUCACUGACGCUGAGGAGCGAAAGCGUGGGGAGCAAACAGG